AUACUUAACUGGCGUAGAGGGAUACCGUGAUCAUGCAGACGGUUCCCCCAGGGCGAGGCUGCUUCAUUGCACUGCGGAGUGAUUAUUGACCCUUGCGAUUAUUUUUAUUUUUAUCAAUAAAAAAUCAUAAUCAUAAUAAAAAAUGUAUACCCGAAUAAUUCUUUU
rnacentral:snRNA from 9 species